rnacentral:lncRNA from 1 species
GUUCCAAGUCCUCCUCAAAUGAGCAAAAUCUAAAGAAAUUAAAAUAUCAGUCAUAGCCUUAAAGAAAAUUACAACAUACUCAAAAAAAAAAAAUUAGCUACCCUACCUAACCACAGCCCUCUAAAAGUGUAGCAUUAUUCCUUGGUAUUGAAAACUCCCUUGGCUGGAUGAGACACUCCUUCAACUCAUCUUUCAGCUUGAGGAGGUCACAGAGAGACCUCGGGGGAUUGGGAUUCUGCAAUUUGGUGUGCAUCAGCUUUUGGAGUGAGCCUCUCAAAUCUCUACAGACCAAUGGAGACCAAGCAAGAUGCUCUCUAGCUGAACUAAGAAGAAAGGCAGCAAGUUUGGCCCAAAAGGUAGGAGAAGAUCUCAAUGCUCAGUGUGGGUCUGGUCACAGAGGAAAGUUACCACAAUGACACAAGACUAGAAGUCAUUCUGUCAUAACGAGUGAGUGAUAAGCAAUUAGUGUCUACCUGCUUUGAUAUGUAAAACACCGUUGCCAUCAAAGUCCAGGGGAAAAAGAAUCAUGGUUUUAUAAAUACAGCUUUAAACACCAUAUUUACAGAUGUAUUUGAAACUUCUGACUGCUUUGAGUAAGUGGUCUCCUUGAAAAUG